rnacentral:lncRNA from 1 species
GCCCAGCCCCAAAGCCCCCAAGCCUGCCAAGUGCUUCUUACAUUCCUGAAAAAGGGACAGCACGAGUCGAAGAUAACAACUAAACCUACGACUCCCACACCACAGGACUUAUUUCCCUGGUCCACGACAAAGUCACAAAUCCACAUGAAAAAUGACUGUGCAGUGUGCCAAAACAAGCAACACGUUCGAGAACUGUAAUAUACAUCUACCAAACUCCGCAUCGAUCAGAUCUUUAUUAAAGCACCACAGCCAACUGCAUCGCCCACACUUUAAAGUAUACUACAAGAGAAGACGAAUCAAAUAACUACUGCCAAGACUGAAUGAAUGGAACGGUCGUUCUCGGAACGAGGGCCGAGGCAGGGGGAUCAGUGGGAUUGGAGGCGUCGAGGCGGGGCUCGUUCGGUCCCUGUUUCGCAUGCGCCUGCGGCACAGGAGGGGCCACAGCGGCCGACAGCUUCACUCCUCAAGAAAACGGGCCUAAGUGAAGGCAGGGUAGUUUCACUAGGGCGCAGGACACUAUUUCACGAAAGUCAGUGAAGACGCUGGGAGAGCCACCUAAAAGGCGCACUGUGACCAGGAGGCCCGCUCGGGUGCUAGGAACACCCCAUUGUCCUAAGCCUGAGGCCGGAACCAAACGAGCGGGAGGCAGGUCCUGUCCAGUCCUCUGGCUCUAUAGAGCCAUCUCAGGGCAGCGAUGUCAGAGGGGCAGGCAGUGUCAAGAAUCUCCAAGCAGGUUACGGGUGGGAAGCCAUCUCAGUAGGCGAAACCAGCAUGUGUCCUACUGUCUGGUCGGCAGAGCGCUAGCUCCAAAGCCACUAUUCCCUGCGCCCCUGGCCCCGGGCUCGCCUCGCGCUCUCUUCUGCCCACUCUCCCCCAGAACGAUCACUCCCACGCCACGUUGCUCCCGCACCCAUGAGGACGGGAUCCUCCUCCCCGGCGUUAGCUGCGCCCUGUUCUCGCUGCCUGAGCACCCUCUCCUUUCCUCCCCGCACCUCCUUCCUCUGCUUAGCC